AGGUCAUAAUAGUUUAUAACGUGGUGAAAUUUUGGUUGUACAUUAUUAUUUGUCAGUCACCAUAUAUACGUGCCCCUUUACCCCUUUCACCCACCCCCCAACCCCCUUCCCCUCUGAUAACCACUAAUCUGUUCUCUUUGUCCAUGUGUUUGUUUAUCUUCCACAUAUGAGUGAAAUCAUGUGCUGUUUGUCUUUCUCUGUCUGGCCUAUUUUGCGUAACAUCAUACCCUCAAGGUCCAUCCAUGUGGUUGUGAAUGGGACCAUUUUGUCUUUUUUACGGCUAAGUAGUAUUCCACUGUAUAUAUAUAUAUAUAUAUACCACAUCUUCUUUAUCCAAUCAUCAGUCCAUGGGCACUUGGGUUGCUUCCACAUCUUGGCUAUUGUGGAUAAUGCCGCGAUGAACACAGGGGUGCAUAAAUCUCUUUGAAUUGUUGAUUUCAUGUUCUUUGGAUAAAUACCCAGUAGUGGGAUAGCUGGGCCGUAUGGUAUUUCUAUUUUUAAUUUUUCGAGCAAUCGCCGUACUGUUUUCCUCCUUAUGACGUGCCAGUCUAGGUGGACACGCAGACAUAUAUUGGCUUGUUUGUUUUUCUUUGACAAACCCGAGAUCACCCCGUGCGUCCUGUUCUGCAGCAUGCUCUUCUCGCUUAGCAGGAUGCUGAGGGCGUGUUUCCCUGACUGUCAUGUAGGGUAACACCUGCCUCGAGGCUGUGGUGAGGCUGGCGUCCGAUGACUCAUGUGAGGCCCUCACUACAGACCUGGCACAUGCCCAACACCGAGGGCCUCUGGGAGCUGGUGACCGGAGGGGCUUUCUACUGCUUGGGCAUGGUGUUCUUCAAGAGUGACGGGAGGAUCCCCUUUGCCCACGCCAUCUGGCAUCUCUUUGUGGCAUUUGGUGCUGGUACCCACUACUAUGCCAUUUGGAGGUAUCUCUACCUGCCCAGCACCCUGCAGGCCAAGGUGUCCAAAUGAGGUGGCCCAGACUACACGGGACAUUUGGCCUUUUGGAGCAGAGCAUCACGGGAAGUGUUUCUGCGAACUUUAGCCCAGAGCACAGCGCCCAGCCCGUCUGCCUGCCCAGGGGUAGAGCUUUUGAUGGGUCCGAGGUUAUUUCUGGCGACAGCCAAACCCUCCCUCGGGUCCCAGGUGAGAAAGAAAGCAUUUAGUCAUUUUUACAGAGGAGGAAUUAACCCCGUAAUGUGUUUCUAUUCUAGACGAGUGUUUCCUAAUACAACCGACAUUAACGUCUUCAGAAAAGGGAGCAGACGCUGUUCUGGCAAAUUGGGGAAAGAGGGGGCAAUAUGUGUUUCUUAAGGUCCUGCGAGAUCUAUCAGGGAGGCUGGCGGGUUGUUUAUACCCAACUGGGCAGGGCCUCCUUCUCUGCUACCAAAGUCCUGGCUGGGGAAUUGUCCCCCGCUCAGGGAAGGUCCCCAGCUUGCAGAUCAGGGAGGGUGAAUACCCGCGACCAUGGCAGACAUCACCAAUCAACUGCAGCACUGUGUGGUCUCAGAAUUCUUCUCAAGACGUGCUCUGGGCAGACAUGACCAAUCGCUCGGCACUCAUGAUGGAACUUCUUAGCCUUUGCUGCCUGGUGUGCUCUGCAGGGAUCCCAGCCAGACCAGCUAAAUGUCUCCACGUGGGGGAGCAUGCUUAUCUCCCGACACGACGCCUCCACCCCCUCUCCCUUGUCCCUUUGGCAGAAGCUCCUGGAGUGGGCGGUUUGGGGGCAGCAGAGGAGGACCGAGGCACACACCCCGAGCAACCCCUGACCUUCUGCUCCACCAUAGCUGGUCCUCAGGGCAGAGGUGGAGCGAGUGACGGAGAUGGCAAUGGGGACGCUGUUACUUGGCCCUUUCUUCUCAUGCCGAAAAAUCCAGAGAAAUUAUGAGAGCUGUAUGUUAGAGGGGCAGGCAGAUCCCGGGAGGGUGCUUGCCUGCCCCAGAUUUAGGGUUGUGAUGGCAACAUUCAGAUUCUCAUUGGUGCCAAUCAGUGGCCCUUCCGGCCUCUUCAGCUGAACCCCAGAGGGAAGAUCUUGGCUGAUUCGAUACUGGGCACAGCGUUGGGGUACGCCAGCCUCUGAAGCCCCCAGUAGCCCAACGACAAGGCUUCCAGGGGCUUGUCCUCACAGCCCCCUCCCAGGGCCGGGCCAGCUGCUCUGUCCCCGGCACGUGGACAUUCACUGGGGAGGGGACCAGGCCCGGCUCCGGGAUCUGAACUGGAAUCUCAGAGUGUCCGGAUCAAGGAUCUAUCUCAAGUUAGAUGGGCGUCAUUCUGCAACUCCCAACCGGAGUCGAAUGGGCAGAGACAAGGUGCCUUAUGCUUAGUUCUAGUACAUUCCAGGCUAUUUCAGGGCUCCAGAACCUGGAAUCCCACGUGUGCAAGCUGGUGUGAAAGCAUCUGACACGUUCCUCAGAGAGGCGGGUUCUGAGUUGGCAGAUGCCUCGGGGAGGUUUAGUCCUCUUGCCCGUGUGUGUGCACGUGUCUCUCUGUCUGUCUACACUGGCACUCCCAGCCGCUGGAAGCUGCCUCUGGUCUGCCCGCCCUGCGGAGAUCACCAAGUAUUUCCCAUCAGUUGGGGUCAGGGUUGGAGGUCAGGGGUCUGUCGGUGGGAGGCUGGGGAAGGGCUUGCCCCUGGUUGGGGGCAGGGACACUGCAAGUUGACCUCUGCCAGGGCCUGAGGCAGAGGGAGGGGGCCAUGUGGGUUCUGGGAUGCUGUUUAGGAGGCCCCCCAAAGCAUGGCACCAUGCCAGGGUUGGGAUGCUAGGUUGUCCCCUGGACAGCCUGCCUUUUUGUGCCCCUGCACCUUUUGAAGUGCCGGUUCACUCCCUCAUCCACCCAGCUCACUCCUAUACAUCCUUCAAAGCCCCAAUCAGGCAUCAGCACUGAGGAACUUCCGGCCUUCCUCUGACUUAGGGGCCCCCCACUGCUUCCCAGCAGCCCCUGUGCUCACUGGCACCUCAGCUUGGAGCCCUGUCUUUCGUCACCUCGGUGCUUGUGCCCGUCCCCCAAGCCAGGAACUCCUGGAGGGAGGAGCUGUGUCUUGCUCGACCUGGGAUCAAAUCUGCAUCCUCCGUUUGUGAGGGCUUGGGCUGAUUCCUUACCCUCUCUGUGCCUCAGUGUCCCAAGCUGUAAGAUGGGUACAGUGAGGCAACGCUACACAAGGGAUGCUCGAAGAUGCAGCACGACAGUGAGUGGGGGACACCCAGCCGGCUCCUGAUUCACUCCCUUAGUUGUCCACUUGGAAAGCAACCCUUGAUAAUGAGGACGACACUCUUCCAGGGGUGUCAGAAAGCCUGCUCCGCACAAAGGAAUGAAUCACUAAUGGUGGAAUUUCCGACUGUGGACAGGCUGGUGAGGAUACUGGAGGGUGUUCUGUAGGGCCUUGAUCACAUUCCUUCCCCUCAUUCCAACUCAGGACAGGUCUCCCAGAAUCCUCUCUCCUCCCCAGCGUCCUUCUGAAAGCCAGUUGGCUAGGGUUCCAUUUCACCCAGGCCCAGACCCUGGACCUCCUCCACAUACAUCACAAACAGUGCAGGAAAGGAAAAUGUGUUCCUUGACCCGGUCCCUUCCGAGGCCAGGCCCUGCCCCAGGGACGUUCUAGGCUGUGUGCUGGGCGUGUGGGGUGGAGAGGGCACGACCCUGGAAAUUUGGACGCCAGCUCCCUCUUCCUGUCCAUCCUUGAGGCCAUCACAUGCCAGGAUGACCCAGCAAAGUGGCCGUCAUGCCCCAAGGAGCCGGGGGCGGUCGGCAGCAGCCUGGCCUGUUUGACAUUCCAGACACUUCGGUGGCUGCUCCCGAGUUGGGGUCGCUGCCAGGGUGGGGUGAGGGAUGGGAGCUGGUGAGAGAGGAAGGUGGGAGCAGGUCGGGGCAGGGGUCCGUCAGCGGGCUCACACGCCGGUGACAGUGAUGCGUCCCCGAUGCACGGCCGCGCUGGCGGGCAGGCCUGGAGUGGACGGCCUCAUCCUUAGUCCAUCAGCCUUGGCGGGGCAAGCCGGAGCUUGCUGGCUGAGGCCUGUGUGUCGCCCGGUGGGAUUUCCCUGAAAGGGUCCAAGCAGAAGGCCUGGGCCGUCCCAGGGUCCAGGAGCCCCCAGCCCUGGGAGGGAUUUAGAUCAGUAUUACAGACCAGAGCUAGCUUUCUCUCUUGAUCGGAAAUCGCACUUAGGGUGGGGGCAGGGCGAGCAUCCUUCUCUCCAGCAGCGUCCGUCGGGCUCAGGCUGGGGAGCAUCCUAGGAAAGCCCUGGGAGUGGGGCGGGGGAUGCAGAGAUGGGAAGAACCAGUGGGCCUGGCCCUGCUGGUCGAAAGCUCCCUUGGUCGUAGGUGGGGGUCACUGCAGGGCACUGGUUUGGGGGGGGGGGACUGAAGGCAGGAUAAUAGCCACAGGCCUGGGUUUUCUGGGGUUUGGACUCCAAACUCUCUUUUCAUGUCCGUCUGCAAAACCAACGUGCUCCGCGUGUUUCCCCACAGCUCUGCACGAGCCCCGGCAUCUGGGCUCGGUCCUCCACUG
rnacentral:lncRNA from 1 species